rnacentral:rRNA from 1 species
AUUGAACGCUGGCGGCAGGCCUAACACAUGCAAGUCGAACGAGUGGCGGACGGGUGAGUAAUGCCUAGGAAUCUGCCUGGUAGUGGGGGAUAACGUCCGGAAACGGUAGCUAAUACCGCAUACUAUCAGAUGAGCCUAGGUGGGAUUAGCUAGUUGGUGGGGUAAAGGCCUACCAAGGCGACGAUCCGUAACUGGUCUGAGAGGAUGAUCAGCCACACUGGAACUGAGACACGGUCCAGACUCCUACGGGAGGCAGCAGUGGGGAAUAUUGGACAAUGGGCGAAAGCCUGAUCCAGCCAUGCCGCGUGUGUGAAGAAGGCCUUCGGGUUGUAAAGCACUUUCAGCGGGGAGGCGUUACCCGCAGAAGAAGCACCGGCUAACUCCGUGCCAGCAGCCGCGGUAAUUC